rnacentral:rRNA from 1 species
GACGUAGGGCGCGAGCGUUGUCCGGAAUUAUUGGGCGUAAAGAGCUCGUAGGCGGCCUGUUGCGUCCGCUGUGAAAGCCCGGGGCUUAACCCCGGGUCUGCAGUGGAUACGGGCAGGCUAGAGGUAGGUAGGGGAGAAUGGAAUUCCCGGUGUAGCGGUGAAAUGCGCAGAUAUCGGGAGGAACACCGGUGGCGAAGGCGGCUCACUGGCUCGUAACUGACGCUCAGGCGCGACAGCCAGGGGAGCGAACGGG